rnacentral:rRNA from 1 species
CGGUAAUUCCAGCUCCAAUAGCGUAUACUACAGUUGUUGCAGUUAAAAAGCUCGUAGUUGGAUUUCUGCGGGGACGGAGCGGCCGGACGCAACUUGCGUCUCGAGCUAGCGCUUUCCCCGCAUCCUGCCGCGAACCGUGCUACCAUUAGUUUGGUGGCGCUGGGGAUCGGCUCGAUUACUUUGAGAAAAAUAGAGUGUUCAAAGCAGGCCACACGCCUUGAAUAAGUUAGCAUGGAAUAAUGACUAAGGACUUCGGUUCUAUUUUGUUGGUGUUCGGGACUGAAGUAAUGAUUGAUAGGGACAGUUGGGGCGGUCUGUAUUCCAAAGCGAGAGGUGAAAUUCUUAGACCUUCGGAAGACAAACAGCUGCGAAAGCGUUCCGCAAGGAUGUUCCCUUUGAUCAAGAACGAAAGUUGGGGGAUCGAAGACGAUCAGAUACCGUCGUAGUCUCAACUAUAAACUAUACCAGCUAGGGAUCGGUCAACGUUUAAUUAUUCGACUUGAUCGGCACCUUAUGAGAAAUCAAAGCAUCUGGGUUCCGGGGGGAGUAUGGUCGCAAGGCUGAAACUUAAAGGAAUUGACGGAAGGGCACCACCAGCCGUGGAGCCUGUGGCUUAAUUUGACUCAACACGGGAAAACUUACCAGGUCCAGACAUAGUAAGGAUUGACAGAUUGAUAGCUCUUUCUUGAUUCUGUGGGUGGUGGUGCAUGGCCGUUCUUAGUUGGUGGAGUGAUUUGUCUGGUUAAUUCCGUUAACGAACGAGACCCCAGCCUGCUAAAUAGCGCGGCUGAGCUUUGCUCGGUGCGAGCUUCUUAGAGGGACUAUGAUGCGCGAUAGCACAUGGAAGUUUGGGGCAAUAACAGGUCUGUGAUGCCCUUAGAUGUUCUGGGCCGCACACGGGCUACACAGGCGCCUGCAACGAGCAUAUCAGCUGGCCCGAGAGGGUCUUGGCUAAUCUUUUGAACCGGCGCCGUGCUUGGGAUUGACCUUUGCAAUUGUUGGUCAUGCAACGAGGAAUGCCUUGUAAACGCGAGUCAUCAGCUCGCAUUGAAUACGUCCCUGCCCUUUGUACACACCGCCCGUCGCUCCUACCGAUGAAUGUUCCGAUGAAAUUUUCGGAGAGCGCCAGAGAACGGGGCUCUGCCUUGCAGAUCUGGAGGCUCAAAGUCAUUUAAAUCUGAACAUUUCGAGGAAGGAGAAGUCGUAACAGAGGUAGCCG